rnacentral:rRNA from 1 species
UAAAACAUAGUGUUAAUGCAUCGGAUCCCAUUAGAACUCCGUAUUUAAGCGCGCUCAUUAUAGAGUAGUACUAGGAUGGGUGACUGCCCCAGAAGUCCUGGUGUUUUAC